GCUCCCAUAGUUUAAUGGAUAGAAUAAAGGAUUCCGGUUCCUUCGGUUACGGUUCGAUUCCGUAUGGGAGUA
rnacentral:tRNA from 1 species